rnacentral:misc_RNA from 1 species
UGUAUAAGCCUUGUCGCCAUUUUGAUUAUUAUUGGAGAAGAAGCAAGAACGCAUCAUCAGAAACUUCCACUUCACGUGCAUUCUUCCGGCUAUCAUCUCGGAGUAGGAAAGUGUGGUAGCACUUGCAGUGUUUCUCGCUUGUGGGUCUCUCAGUUUUCUCCGCAUAUAAGCCAUGUCACGUUAUCGAGAAUGGGAAAUCUCUUGUAAAGUCUACAUUGGUAAUUUGGGAAGUAGUGCUAGCAAACACGAAAUCGAGAGUGCAUUUAGCAAGUAUGGUCCAUUGAGGAACGUAUGGGUUGCGAGAAAUCCACCAGGUUUUGCUUUUGUCGAGUUUGAGGAUCCAAGGGACGCAGAGGAUGCUGUUAGAGGAUUGGAUGGAACACGGUGCUGUGGUACAAAAGUAAAGGUAGAGAUGUCUACUGGGAGAAGGAGACAUAGUGGUGGUGGUCGCAGGCCAGGUCCACGAUAUUCCAGGUCCAGAUCUCGCAGUCCUCGUAGGAAAUCUCUGGGUCGUUAUCCAAGGUCUUUGUCAAGAAGUCCAAGAAGAUCAUCCAUUAACAAAUAUACCAGAUUCUACCAGCGUCAGCUCCUAGCUCUUCUCGUCUCCCCGCCACUACUACUACUACUACCACUACUACUACUACCACUACUACUACUACUACUACUACUACUACUACUACUACUACUACUACUACUCGUCCACCAUCACGUUAAACUUAGCCGACAACGCGACCGCCACUUCUCUUCGACCAAGCGCAAAGCAAAAUGAUCACCUACACACCAUCCUACCACCACCCAACCAAGUACCAUCACCACCACCAACCACCACUACAUGUUCACAGUUGUCUGGUCAAGGUCCCGCAGUCCACGUAGAAGAUCUUUGACCCGUAGCCGCAGCCGUGACCGCCGUUCUCGCUCGGAUUCUCGAGAUAGACG